CAAUAGCGUAUAUUAAAGUUGUUGCGGUUAAAAAGCUCGUAGUUGGAUUUCUGCCGAGGACGACCGGUCCGCCCUCUGGGUGAGUAUCUGGCUCGGCCUGGGCAUCUUCUUGGAGAACGUAGCUGCACUUGACUGUGUGGUGCGGUAUCCAGGACUUUUACUUUGAGGAAAUUAGAGUGUUUCAAGCAGGCUUACGCCUUGAAUACAUUAGCAUGGAAUAAUAAGAUAGGACCUCGGUUCUAUUUUGUUGGUUUCUAGAGCUGAGGUAAUGAUUAAUAGGGAUAGUUGGGGGCAUUCGUAUUUAACUGUCAGAGGUGAAAUUCUUGGAUUUGUUAGAGACGGACUACUGCGAAAGCAUUUGCCAAGGAUGUUUUCAUUG
rnacentral:rRNA from 1 species